rnacentral:rRNA from 1 species
UACGGGGGGGGCAAGCGUUGUUCGGAAUUACUGGGCGGAAAGGGCGCGUAGGUGGUUUGCUAAGUUGGAUGUGAAAACUCUGGGCUUAACUCAGAGCCUGCAUCCAAAACUGGCAAACUUGAGUACUGGAGGGGAAAGCGGAAUUCCUGGUGUAGCGGUGAAAUGCGUAGAUAUCAGGAGGAACACCGGUGGCGAAGGCGGCUUUCUGGACAGUAACUGACACUGAGGCGCGAAAGCUAGGGGAGCAAACAGG